UACAGUACGCGGUUUGUAGGCAAAUUGAAAAUAUGAGCAGUAUGCCUCUCUCUCCGUUGAAUUAUAUAUGAAAGUACCUGCAUGUGGCUAGUUGUCGAGUACGACCGGAGGAAAUUCGUUGGAUAUAAAUUAUGCUUAAAUGAAACAUGUUUUAGAAUCUAAAUCAAAUAAUGACCCAGAACAUCAACGUCUUUCACACUUCCCAUCUGAACUUCGAAUCUCUAUAAUAUAAGCUCAUCAACGCCAAUGCUGUGCAGCAGCCAGGGAUAUAUAGGGAUUCGGAAACAUAUCGUUUUUUUUUUGUUUUCUUUUUGGUUGAUGAAAUGGGAACAUGUCAGCAGGCUUGCAAGUUGCAACCCAGUAAUUUGAGGACAGAACUUGGACAAAUAAAACCGUCGGCACUCAGACUCAGCUCAUCAAAUUGCAGUUCGUUUUCAUUAUUGGCGGAAGGCAGCACAGCCACCCACCAACAGCCAGUCAGAGGGACAUGAGGUUUUUUGUCCACGGCGAAGGAGGCCCAGCUCCCGGGGCAAGCAGACGACGGCGAAGGCGUGGAACCGCAGCAAGGACGACGGGAACUUUCACAACGGACGAAGGGGCUGUACCAUCGUGCUUCGUGUCCCGGCGCCGAGAUUGAUAUCCGCUUCACACGUGUUUGUUGAAGUGAUCUAUGAGAAUCAGAUAACCCAUCCUUUGCUUACUGUGCUGAAUAACUGUUUAAAGCUUAUUUACUGUACUAGUAUAAUUGUUAAGGCUUGACAAAGAUCCUGUUUAGUAUAACAUCACGAGUAGAGGUGCUAUCUCCCGUGUGAGCCGACUGAGACGCAAGUAUAGACCCCCCUCCAGCAGCUCCGUUGCCGUUGCCGACGCCCGCAGGUCGCAGGCCGCAGUCCCCAGCCUUGCUUU
rnacentral:lncRNA from 7 species